GACGAACGCUGGCGGCGUGCCUAAUACAUGCAAGUAGAACGCAGUUGCGAACGGGUGAGUAACGCGUAGGUAACUGCCUCAUAGCGGGGGAUAACUAUUGGAAACGAUAGCUAAUACAGCAUACUGUGAGAUGGACCUGCGUUGUAUUAGCUAGUUGGUGAGGUAAAGGCUCACCAAGGCGACGGUACAUUGCCGACCUGGGAGGGAAAUCGGCCAAACGUGGACUGGGACAUGGCCCACAAUCCUACGGGAGGGAGCAGUAGGGAAUCGUCGGCAAUGGACGGAAAUCUGGCCGAGCAACGCCGCGUGAAUGGAGGAGGUUUUCAGAUCGUAAAGCUCUGUUUUUGGAGAAGCGGUACCUAACCAGAAAGGGACGGCUAACUACGUGCCAGCAGCCGCGGUAAUAC
rnacentral:rRNA from 1 species